UGAAAGCAUCUAAGCGCGAAGCCAGCUCUGAGAUGAGUAUUCCAUUUCCCUUCGGGGAUAAAAGGGUCGUGGUAGAUGACCACGUUGAUAGGCUACAGGUCGAAGUGCAGUGAUGUAUGCAGCCGAGUAGUACUAAUAACCCGAAUGCUUCCUUUUU
rnacentral:rRNA from 1 species